rnacentral:piRNA from 1 species
UAUGGGACGUAUGAAUUCUGACUG